rnacentral:lncRNA from 1 species
AGUUACAGAUUUUCAGAAGUGCCACAUGCAGGGAAGCACUCCUGGGCUGCUCUCUGCCAGCCCCCUCCCUGUAGCAUGGCUUCGGUUCAUGGCACGGACUGAGGGAGGAAGAGGAAGCAGACUCAUGAGAGUGGGGGCGUGGGGAGUGUAGGUUGUGAAACAAUAUGAGAAACCUCCAGAGCCAGCAAAGAAAGUUUUGUUUCUGGAAUUUGGAAUACAAACUUUUUUCACAGUCAACAUUUCUGUGACUAGAAGCUCACUUUUGGCAACAUCGACCAGAUUUUCUUUCUGGAAAUGAACUUGCUUCCAUGAUGGACGUUCCUGAUGUCCUGCCUUCCUGAAACCAAAAGAAGGACCUUGUGGACUUUAAAUCCCAAGCAAAAGAGACAAAGAUGGAAAAACCAUUGGAGUACAUUCCUUCCAAGCUUUCUGAAACAGACCAUUUCGCAAGGCUUGGAGACAUGAAGUGAAUUCCCACCAUCACAGUCCAUUGGGAGUGAAGGCAAGAUUUGAACCCAGGUCUGUCCAAAUCCAGAGCCUGUAGCCUCUCCGUUCUCUCCUGCUACCUCUUCUUCAGUGGGACCUGCUAAUGUGGAACCGGUCUGAUCUCUUGCCUUCAUAAACAUAAGAUCAGCUUCGACAGCUCUCCCUGCUUCAGUGAAAUUUUUUUCCCUCUGAGUCUGGGGAAAUCACCUUCAUUAAUUAUCCCGCAGCUUUGAUUAAUUAACCUACAUCCUUCCCUCUCAGGCCUUCAGU